rnacentral:lncRNA from 1 species
UUCGUCUGCUUCAGGGAGUCGUUCUUCUUCCAAGUGGGAUCUCAGGCAAGAUGAUAAUUAUCCUAGAUACCAUUACUAUCAUUGACAUUUUAGUUGUUUCAUUUCUAUUACUAUGCCGUGCUGCCUAGCACCUGAUAAAUAUCAACCUCUCAUCAUUGCCUUGAAACCUUCAACCUUUCUACAACCUAGCAAACCGCUGAUUGGCUAUGUUACCACUUUCUUAACCAUUUGAUAGCAUUGCUAGUUGCAGGUGUAGUUUCUUCCAUGUGAUAACAUGGGUUCCUUGUUAUAUAACCUUAUUAAUGCUAUUUAAUUCAAUGCACCUAUGUACUUGGUAAAAGGUG